rnacentral:rRNA from 1 species
AGAGUUUGAUCAUGGCUCAGAUUGAACGCUGGCGGCAGGCCUAACACAUGCAAGUCGAACGGUAACAGGAAGCAGCUUGCUGCUUCGCUGACGAGUGGCGGACGGGUGAGUAAUGUCUGGGAAACUGCCUGAUGGAGGGGGAUAACUACUGGAAACGGUAGCUAAUACCGCAUAAUGUCGCAAGACCAAAGAGGGGGACCUUCGGGCCUCUUGCCAUCGGAUGUGCCCAGAUGGGAUUAGCUUGUUGGUGGGGUAACGGCUCACCAAGGCGACGAUCCCUAGCUGGUCUGAGAGGAUGACCAGCCACACUGGAACUGAGACACGGUCCAGACUCCUACGGGAGGCAGCAGUGGGGAAUAUUGCACAAUGGGCGCAAGCCUGAUGCAGCCAUGCCGCGUGUAUGAAGAAGGCCUUCGGGUUGUAAAGUACUUUCAGCGGGGAGGAAGGGAGUAAAGUUAAUACCUUUGCUCAUUGACGUUACCCGCAGAAGAAGCACCGGCUAACUCCGUGCCAGCAGCCGCGGUAAUACGGAGGGUGCAAGCGUUAAUCGGAAUUACUGGGCGUAAAGCGCACGCAGGCGGUUUGUUAAGUCAGAUGUGAAAUCCCCGGGCUCAACCUGGGAACUGCAUCUGAUACUGGCAAGCUUGAGUCUCGUAGAGGGGGGUAGAAUUCCAGGUGUAGCGGUGAAAUGCGUAGAGAUCUGGAGGAAUACCGGUGGCGAAGGCGGCCCCCUGGACGAAGACUGACGCUCAGGUGCGAAAGCGUGGGGAGCAAACAGGAUUAGAUACCCUGGUAGUCCACGCCGUAAACGAUGUCGACUUGGAGGUUGUGCCCUUGAGGCGUGGCUUCCGGAGCUAACGCGUUAAGUCGACCGCCUGGGGAGUACGGCCGCAAGGUUAAAACUCAAAUGAAUUGACGGGGGCCCGCACAAGCGGUGGAGCAUGUGGUUUAAUUCGAUGCAACGCGAAGAACCUUACCUGGUCUUGACAUCCACGGAAGUUUUCAGAGAUGAGAAUGUGCCUUCGGGAACCGUGAGACAGGUGCUGCAUGGCUGUCGUCAGCUCGUGUUGUGAAAUGUUGGGUUAAGUCCCGCAACGAGCGCAACCCUUAUCCUUUGUUGCCAGCGGUCCGGCCGGGAACUCAAAGGAGACUGCCAGUGAUAAACUGGAGGAAGGUGGGGAUGACGUCAAGUCAUCAUGGCCCUUACGACCAGGGCUACACACGUGCUACAAUGGCGCAUACAAAGAGAAGCGACCUCGCGAGAGCAAGCGGACCUCAUAAAGUGCGUCGUAGUCCGGAUUGGAGUCUGCAACUCGACUCCAUGAAGUCGGAAUCGCUAGUAAUCGUGGAUCAGAAUGCCACGGUGAAUACGUUCCCGGGCCUUGUACACACCGCCCGUCACACCAUGGGAGUGGGUUGCAAAAGAAGUAGGUAGCUUAACCUUCGGGAGGGCGCUUACCACUUUGUGAUUCAUGACUGGGGUGAAGUCGUAACAAGGUAACCGUAGGGAACCUGCGGUUGGAUCACCU